UACGUAGGGCGCAAGCGUUGUCCGGAAUUAUUGGGCGUAAAGAGCUCGUAGGCGGUCUGUCGCGUCGGCUGUGAAAACCCGAGGCUCAACCUCGGGCCUGCAGUCGAUACGGGCAGACUAGAGUGCUGUAGGGGAGACUGGAAUUCCUGGUGUAGCGGUGAAAUGCGCAGAUAUCAGGAAGAACACCCGUGGCUAAGGCGGCUCUCUAGUACGGUACUGACGCUGAGACGCGAAAGCGUGGGGAGCGAACAGG
rnacentral:rRNA from 1 species